AUUGAACGCUGGCGGCAGGCCUAACACAUGCAAGUCGAACGGUAACAGGAAACAGCUUGCUGUUUCGCUGACGAGUGGCGGACGGGUGAGUAAUGUCUGGGAAACUGCCUGAUGGAGGGGGAUAACUACUGGAAACGGUAGCUAAUACCGCAUAACGUCGCAAGACCAAAGAGGGGGACCUUCGGGCCUCUUGCCAUCGGAUUUGCCCAGAUGGGAUUAGCUAGUAGGUGGGGUAACGGCUCACCUAGGCGACGAUCCCUAGCUGGUCUGAGAGGAUGACCAGCCACACUGGAACUGAGACACGGUCCAGACUCCUACGGGAGGCAGCAGUGGGGAAUAUUGCACAAUGGGCGCAAGCCUGAUGCAGCCAUGCCGCGUGUAUGAAGAAGGCCUUCGGGUUGUAAAGUACUUUCAGCGGGGAGGAAGGGAGUAAAGUUAAUACCUUUGCUCAUUGACGUUACCCGCAGAAGAAGCACCGGCUAACUCCGUG
rnacentral:rRNA from 1 species